rnacentral:rRNA from 1 species
AUUAGAGUUUGAUCCUGGCUCAGGACGAACGCUGGCGGCGUGCCUAAUACAUGCAAGUCGAGCGGACCGGAUCGGAGCUUGCUCUGAUUUGGUCAGCGGCGGACGGGUGAGUAACACGUGGGCAACCUGCCCGCAAGACCGGGAUAACUCCGGGAAACCGGAGCUAAUACCGGAUAACACCGAAGACCGCAUGGUCUUUGGUUGAAAGGCGGCCUUUGGCUGUCACUUGCGGAUGGGCCCGCGGCGCAUUAGCUAGUUGGUGAGGUAACGGCUCACCAAGGCGACGAUGCGUAGCCGGCCUGAGAGGGUGACCGGCCACACUGGGACUGAGACACGGCCCAGACUCCUACGGGAGGCAGCAGUAGGGAAUCUUCCGCAAUGGGCGAAAGCCUGACGGAGCGACGCCGCGUGAGCGAAGAAGGCCUUCGGGUCGUAAAGCUCUGUUGUGAGGGACGAAGGAGCGCCGUUCGAAGAGGGCGGCGCGGUGACGGUACCUCACGAGGAAGCCCCGGCUAACUACGUGCCAGCAGCCGCGGUAAUACGUAGGGGGCGAGCGUUGUCCGGAAUUAUUGGGCGUAAAGCGCGCGCAGGCGGUUCCUUAAGUCUGAUGUGAAAGCCCACGGCUCAACCGUGGAGGGUCAUUGGAAACUGGGGGACUUGAGUGCAGGAGAGGAGAGCGGAAUUCCACGUGUAGCGGUGAAAUGCGUAGAGAUGUGGAGGAACACCAGUGGCGAAGGCGGCUCUCUGGCCUGCAACUGACGCUGAGGCGCGAAAGCGUGGGGAGCAAACAGGAUUAGAUACCCUGGCAGUCCACGCCGUAAACGAUGAGUGCUAAGUGUUAGAGGGGUCACACCCUUUAGUGCUGCAGCUAACGCGAU